GCAAGUAUAUUCAAUCGCAAAGACGUCGCCCCGGGUACUCGGGAGUAAGGACUCCAACGAGAGCAUGGCAGACUCGCAUCAGUCCAGCAGUGGGAUCUGGAGGGACAUCAGGAGUCCCACAGCAAGCCAGGGCGAACCAAGAGGAGCCUAUGGAUGUGACUGGACAUGAAGACAACUCAGCUGGCACCAAUACC